GGGGAUGUAGCUCAGAGGUAGAGCACUUGCCUAGCAUGUGUGAGGGCCUGGGUUCCAUCCCCAGCACACACA
rnacentral:tRNA from 1 species